GCGUUGGACUAGUAAACAGCAGGUAGCCUAGUGGUUAGAGUGUUGGACUAGUAAACAGCAGGUAGCCUAGUGGUUAGAGCGUUGGACUAGUAACCAGCAGGUAGCCUAGUGGUUAGAGCGUUGGACUAGUAAACAGCAGGUAGCCUAGUGGUUAGAGCGUUGGACUAGUAACCAGCAGGUAGCCUAGUGGUUAGAGCGUUGGACUAGUAACCAGCAGGUAGCCUAGUGGUUAGAGCGUUGGACUAGUAACCAGCAGGUAGCCUAGUGGUUAGAGCGUUGGACUAGUAACCAGCAGGUAGCCUAGUGGUUAGAGCGUUGGACUAGUAACCAGCAGGUAGCCUAGUGGUUAGAGCGUUGGACUAGUAACCAGCAGGUAGCCUAGUGGUUAGAGCGUUGGACUAGUAAACAGCAGGUAGCCUAGUGGUUAGAGCGUUGGACUAGUAACCAGCAGGUAGCCUAGUGGUUAGAGCGUUGGACUAGUAACCAGCAGGUAGUCUAGUGGUUAGAGCGUUGGACUAGUAAACAGCAGGUAGCCUAGUGG